UAUGUGAUCGUCUCUCGCAUAUCAAUAAGCGGAGGAAAAGAAACUAACAAGGAUUCCCCUAGUAACGGCGAGUGAAGCGGGAAGAGCUCAAAUUUGAAAUCUUAAAGGGUUUCCCUUUACGGAUUGUAGUUUAAAGAAGUGUUUUCUGUUGAGGUUUUGGUAAAAGUUCUUUGGAAUAGGACAUCAUAGAGGGUGAGAAUCCCGUAUUUGACCUUUACUUUCAACUUUGUGAUACACUUUCAAAGAGUCGGAUUGUUUGGGAAUGCAGUCCAAAAUGGGUGGUAAAUUUCAUCUAAAGCUAAAUAUUGGCGAGAGACCGAUAGCGAACAAGUACCGUGAGGGAAAGAUGAAAAGAACUUUGAAAAGAGAGUUAAACAGUACGUGAAAUUGUCAAAAGGGAAGCGUUUGACACCAGUGUUGUUUUUCUGAAAAUCAAUUAAAGAACUGUUUAUGCUAAGCUGUUUAGACUUUAUCAGCUAUCUGUUUAGUUUUGAGCUUUUCUUUAAUGCACUUUUCAGUUAACAAGUCAACAUCAAUUUCUUUUGCUGUAAAAAAGCUUGAGGAAGGUGGCUUGAGAUUCGUCUUAAGUGUUUAUAGCCUCUUGCCUAUGCAGUCGGAGAGAUUGAGGUCUGCAGCGUAGAUCCUUCGGGGCUAAAUGCAUUUGUGCUAAGUUAUAGCAUUUUAUAGACAACUUGUUGACUAUGAUUUGUCUUGUAGCUUACUCGCUUAUGUUAUUUUACCUACGCUUAGGAUGUUGACGCGCGUGUGUGCGUG
rnacentral:rRNA from 1 species